rnacentral:rRNA from 1 species
UACAGAGGUCCCAAGCGUUGUUCGGAUUCACUGGGCGUAAAGGGUGCGUAGGUGGUUGGGUAAGUUUGAUGUGAAAGCUCUGGGCUCAACCCAGAAAUGGCAUUGAAUACUAUUCGACUAGAGGAGUGGAGGGGGGACUGGAAUACUUGGUGUAGCAGUGAAAUGCGUAGAUAUCAAGUGGAACACCAGUGGCGAAGGCGAGUCCCUGGACACUUCCUGACACUGAGGCACGAAAGCUAGGGGAGCAAACAGGAUUAGAUACCCCUGUAGUCC